rnacentral:rRNA from 1 species
AUGAAGCCCAAGGCCGCCGCCGGCGAGAAGGGCCGCGGAGUGGACCCGUCGCUGCCGCGGUUUAAGUGCCAGGAAUGCCACCGGGCGCUCCUCGUCGUCGGCGUGGAAUCAUUCCCUGAUAGGUUGCCUGCUCACGCCAACUCCGGUAUGCAUGCAUCCUCUGUUCAAGGCAGUAUUAUGGGGGCGAGCAGGAUGGACAGUUCUUAUGUUGUGUUGUCCAAGCAGAACAGAUCUCAAGGCCCUGGGAUUCCCCCACGGCCACCAAAUGCAGCAGCCCGGCAUGUCGAGCCUAACCAAUCAACAAGAGCAAUAGAGGGAUCAUAUAUAAUGCUUCCACCUGCCGCUGCUUCCAUAUACAAGACAUCUACCUCCGAAGGUGGUGGCGCGCAUCUGUCGCCUCCAAAUCUUAACUCUACUAGCCCUUCACCAGGCAACAAUACUGGAUUUCACUCUAGUGUGACUGUCUUAAAGCGGGCAUUUGAGAUUGCUAGUUCACAAACUCAGGUUGAGCAGCCACUAUGUCUGGAAUGUAUGAGGGUGCUUUCUGAUAAGAUGGACAAGGAGAUUGAGGAUGUAAAUACUGACAUCAAAGCUUAUGAUGCAUGUCUUCAACGUUUGGAGCAGGAAUCCUACAAUGUCCUUAGCGAAACUGAUUUCCUCAAGGAGAAAGAAAAGAUAGAGGAGGAAGAAAAGAAACUAAAAACUGCUAUUGAAGAAGCAGAAAAGCAAUAUUCUGAAGUUAGCUCUGAGAUGAAGGAUCUUGAAACAAAGUCGAAACAAUUUGAAGAAUUAGAAGAGCGGUAUUGGCAUGAAUUCAACAGCUUCCAGUUUCAGCUGACAUCUCACCAGGUAUAUAUACCAUACCUAUUACAGGCCACACAUUGUCAGCUUCCAGAAGAAAGAGAUGCGGUUUUGGCCAAGAUAGAAGUUUCACAGGUCCACCUGGAAUUGUUAAAGCGCACAAAUGUUCUCAAUGAUGCAUUCUAUAUUUCACAUGAUGGAGUUAUUGGAACAAUAAACAACUUCCGUCUCGGUCGUCUGCCUAAUGUACAGGUUGAGUGGGAUGAGAUAAAUGCUGCUUGGGGUCAGGCUGCUCUUCUGUUACACACCAUGGCUCAGUACUUCCCGAAAUUCCAAUACCGAAUCAAGAUUCACCCUAUGGGAAGCUACCCAAGAGUAACAGACAUCAACAAUAAUACCUAUGAACUGUUUGGUCCUGUGAAUUUAUUCUGGAGCACCCGAUUUGACAAAGCCAUGACAUGGUUUCUCACUUGCCUUCAAGAGUUCUCUGAGUGUGCCAUAAGUUUGGAUAAAGAGAACAAUGUUCCGGCUGAUAAGUCAUUGAAGCUCCCCUACAAGAUUGAUGGUGACAAAGUAGGGAGCUAUACGAUCUUCUUAAGUUUUAAUAAACUGGAGAACUGGACAAAGGCUCUAAAAUAUAUGCUUUGCAACCUGAAGUGGGUUCUCUACUGGUUUAUCGGCAAUACAAGUUUUGCGCCACCAUCUGCAUCUUUGUACUUGGCGCAGUCUCCAAACAAGAAGGGUUGA